GCUUGCAUCUGAGCCAACAUAAGUCUCUUGAAAGUUUACCACCAAACUGAUCCAGCUGAGGCUAACGCUAUCAUGAGGACAGGAUGGAGAGUCUGUGAGGUUUCAGACUAGGCUUAAAACACAUGCAAUGCAAUAUGUGUCAGUUGCUACCUCUACGAAGAAUGACUUAAGUUCAGGGAGAUGCUGGAACAGAUUCAGGGUUGAGCUGUCACUUUUGGUCUGUCUCUGUACUACUUCCUCUGCGGAUAAUCUCACAGGAUGAGGCUCCUAGGAGACAAUAUUGAGUCCCAAAAGACACAGCCAGCAAGUUCCCACCCUGAUGACACACUAGAUAGCAGACGUAUCCCUGAAUGCCAUGAGGCUAGCAGGAAAAGCCAUAGAAACAAAUUCAAUGCCCAGGAACCAGCCCUGACUCCAACCAUGGAUAUCAGGUAAUUAUUCACAGUAAAUCCUCUGUGCCUCAAAGUUCCCAGGAGAAACUCUGUUUGGGAAGAAACUUGACAAGUGCUGCCUGACAACCAAGACAAGCCAAAAUGUUCACUCCCCACUCCAGCAAAACUUAAAGAUGACUACACUCAUAUGUGAGCAGAAGUAGCUGUCAUUCCUAUCUGCAACAAAGUUACCAGAGAAGAGAUUCAACUUAUUUCAAGGAUAAAAUUUGGGCUCAGAAUACCAGGAGGAAGCCUGGAUCCAAAACAGGGUAAUCCCUCCUUCUAGUCAAAUCCACCAGUAUGGCUGCAUCUGGGAUGCCUAUAUCCAGAAACAUGUAUAGGGGACAAGAUAACCCACUUUUCAAUCAUCUGGAUCCAGUCAACUUCAGACAGGUGCCCCUGGGUGCCUCUGAGACCCUUCGUUUCCUCUCUUGAACCCUGAGAAACAAACCAACCUGAAGAAGAUUUCUUACCUCCUAGAGCUAGAGGCAAUAAAACUUGACUCUUUAAUGUUGCAUACGCUGCUGUUAAUAUAACAGCAUCACUGCCUAACAGUUCCAAGCUAUAUGGCUAAUGUAUGGCUUUGCCAUCAAACAAACAGGCUAAUUUUAUAACAAUUAAUGUCUCAGUUACAAAUAGUUAUGGAAUUCUCAGAAUGAAUAAUUAUUAGUCUGAAUGUCCCAUCAGAAAGCUAAAAUAAAUGGAGAGAGAAACAUAA